UAUAACAACGUAACACGUACAAUAUACAGUCUAACUACAUUUGUAAAUAUUUCCUCAUUUUCAAGACAUAAAAGCACACUGGUCAAAACUAAAGUUUAGCAGUUCCAUGUUAAACGAGACAAAUGGAAUUAAACAAAAAACACGUAAAGUCUCAUUCAUUCAUCUCCAAUAAUAUCCUAGAGUAGCAGUAGUAACAGGGGAAACUCCAGCUGCCGUCUGAUCAUGAUCACCUAAUUAAUUUGCUGAUCCAGCGCUUACUAGCAAUGCACUUGAUAAUCUUGCCCGCCGCCUGUUUUCGCAACUUCUCCAUACAAAAAAACAGGACAACCCAACCGGUUCAAUUCAUCAGCAGUAACUAAGAAAUAAUAGUGACCAACGUUUUAUUAACACACUUUCAUUCAUUCAUCCCGAAAAUGCUAAUGAUCAGAGACGAAUGUCAUCCAACAGCAACACUUCUCAGUUUUUCCAGCCCUGGUAGUUCAAUCUACCGAAGACACCUUGGUAUCUGGUAUCAUAACAAGCCAUCACCUUUUUUUCCUUUAUGUGUCUACUUUAGUGUGUCUAGAUUAGGACGUUAUUUUAGUAUUUCACUUAAAGAUCCUGGUAAAAGAAAAAUCAAGAUUUUUUAUUAUUAUAAAGCAGUAAGUACUAAGUAAAGUGGGUACCUUGUUAUAGGAAGAGGUGAUGCAAGCUUUGUGGUCGUCCAUGGAAGCAUUAACGAAGCCGUAGAACCGACUGCUUACUCCUAAAAGCACACCAUUGUUAUCAUCAAUCUUCUUGAAGCAAACAGAGGUAAGUCCCGAUCCGGCAGCCGGACGAGGGGCGACCUUAGCGGCGGGGAAAUGGAUGUACUUGGCGGCCGUGGAAUUCAUUGCAGCUGAGAGUGUUUGUCGUUUUAUCAGGAGGAAAU
rnacentral:lncRNA from 1 species